GAGAAAACACAGGAUUCAUCGGAAGUUCAUCCUAUUAAAGAAUCAGAAGCAGUUGCAGUAAAAGAUAUCAAUGAUUCAGUAGCAGUGCCUGAAGUUGAUAAACCAGAAUCAGCAGUUCCUGAAGUUGAGGUUAAACAAGAAAAGCAAUCUGAAGUAAUUGAACAAGUGGAAAAACCAGAAUCAGCGGUUCCUCAGGUUGAGGUGAAAUUGGUGGAACAACCUGAAGUAACUGAACAAGUUGAAAAACCAGAAUCAUUGGGUCCUGAGGUUGAGGUGAAACCAGAAGAACAACCUGAAGUCACUACACAUACGGAAAAACAAAAGAAACAUGAAGUAGAGUUGAAAACUGAGGCACGAUCUGAAGUUAGUGAACAGGUUGAGAUUAAGCCAACUAAUGAAAAGCCAGAGGAAGUAGCUGGAAUUACUCAGGAGGCUGAAGUUGAUGUCAAAGAGGAUAUAGGAAAAUCUUCUCUUCCUGAAGUUGUAGGAAAGGUUGGUCCAGAAGAUGAAAAAAGAGAGGCUGAAGGAACUGAUCCGGUUGAAGUGCCAGUAAAAGAGGUUGUGGUAGAAGCGGAAAAGGGUGGAG
rnacentral:lncRNA from 1 species